UACGUAGGGUGCAAGCGUUGUCCGGAAUUAUUGGGCGUAAAGAGCUCGUAGGCGGUUUGUUGCGUCGGCUGUGAAAUCCCGAGGCUCAACCUCGGGUCUGCAGUCGAUACGAGCAAACUAGAGUGUUGCAGGGGAGACUGGAAUUCCUGGUGUAGCGGUGAAAUGCGCAGAUAUCAGGAGGAACACCGGUGGCGAAGGCGGGUCUCUGGGCAACAACUGACGCUGAGGAGCGAAAGCUUGGGGAGCGAACAGG
rnacentral:rRNA from 1 species